rnacentral:rRNA from 1 species
AUUGAACGCUGGCGGCAUGCCUUACACAUGCAAGUCGAACGGCAGCACGGGUGCUUGCACCUGGUGGCGAGUGGCGAACGGGUGAGUAAUAUAUCGGAACGUACCUUAUUGUGGGGGAUAACGCAGCGAAAGCUGUGCUAAUACCGCAUAAUCCCUUAGGGGGAAAGCGGGGGACCGUAAGGCCUCGCGCAAUUAGAGCGGCCGAUACCUGAUUAGCUAGUUGGUGAGGUAAAGGCUCACCAAGGCGACGAUCAGUAGCUGGUCUGAGAGGACGAUCAGCCACACUGGGACUGAGACACGGCCGAGACUCCUACGGGGGGCAGCAGUGGGGAAUUUUGGACAAGGGGGGCAACCCUGAUCCAGCAAUGCCGCGUGAGUGAAGAAGGCCUUCGGGUUGUAAAGCUCUUUUGUCAGGGAAGAAACAGCAGCUCUAACACAGUAUGCGAAUGACGGUACCUGAAGAAUAAGCACCGGCUAACUACGUGCCAGCAGCCGCCGUAA